AUCUAUGAACCAGGAAGUGGGCUCUCACAAGACACUGAAUGUACUAGAACCUUGGUCUUGGACUCCCCAACCUCCAGAACUUGCUUCACGAGGAGGAACCUGGGUGUUCACUUUUAGACAUCAUGGGCCAUUUUGAGCCAGACCUGACGAUAUGCUUGUCUGGAUUCCCCUGGAAAUGUUCGCAGCCGCCGCCGCGCCGCCGUCGCUCGCCAACGCCAGCGCCGCCUCUAGCUCGCCGAGCUCCAGCUGAAGGAGAAGGGGGGUAAGUAAGGAGGUCUCUAUACCAUGGCUCGUACAAAACAGACCGCCAGCAAAUCGACUGGUGGUAAAGCACCGAGGAAGAACUGGCUACAAAAGCCGCUCGCAAGAGUGCGCCCUCUACUGGAGGGGUGAAGAAACCUCAUCGUUACAGGCCUGGUACUGUGGCACUCCGUGAAAUUAGACGUUAUCAGAAGUCCACUGAACUGAUUCGCAAGCUUCCCUUCCAGCGUCUUGGUGCGGGGAAUUGCUCAGGACUUCAAAACAGAUCUGCGCUUCCAGAGUGCAGCUAUUGGUGCUUUGCAGGAGGCAAGUGAGGCCUAUCUGGUUGGCCUUUUUGAAGACACCAACCUGUGUGCUAUCCAUGCCAAACAUGUAGCAAUUAUGCCAAAAGACCUCCAGCUAGCAUGCCGCAUUACGUGGAGAACGUGCUUAAGAAUCCACUAUGAUGGGAAACAUUUCAUUCUUUAAAAAAAAAAAUUCUCUUCUUCCUGUUAUUGGUAGUUCUGAACGUUAGAUAUUUUUUUUUCCAUGGGGUCAAAAGGUACCUAAGUAUAUGAUUACAAGUGGAAAAAUAGGGGACAGAAAUCAGGUAUUGGCAGUUUUUCCAUUUUCAUUUGUGUGUGAAUUUUU